rnacentral:rRNA from 1 species
GGGUUGUGAGGUUAAGCGACUAAGCGUACACGGUGGAUGCCCUGGCAGUCAGAGGCGAUGAAGGACGUGCUAAUCUGCGAUAAGCGUCGGUAAGGUGAUAUGAACCGUUAUAACCGGCGAUUUCCGAAUGGGGAAACCCAGUGUGUUUCGACACACUAUCAUUAACUGAAUCCAUAGGUUAAUGAGGCGAACCGGGGGAACUGAAACAUCUAAGUACCCCGAGGAAAAGAAAUCAACCGAGAUUCCCCCAGUAGCGGCGAGCGAACGGGGAGGAGCCCAGAGCCUGAAUCAGUGUGUGUGUUAGUGGAAGCGUCUGGAAAGGCGCGCGAUACAGGGUGACAGCCCCGUACACAAAAAUGCACAUACUGUGAGCUCGAUGAGUAGGGCGGGACACGUGGUAUCCUGUCUGAAUAUGGGGGGACCAUCCUCCAAGGCUAAAUACUCCUGACUGACCGAUAGUGAACCAGUACCGUGAGGGAAAGGCGAAAAGAACCCCGGCGAGGGGAGUGAAAAAGAACCUGAAACCGUGUACGUACAAGCAGUGGGAGCCUCUUUUAUGGGGUGACUGCGUACCUUUUGUAUAAUGGGUCAGCGACUUAUAUUCUGUAGCAAGGUUAACCGAAUAGGGGAGCCGAAGGGAAACCGAGUCUUAACUGGGCGUUAAGUUGCAGGGUAUAGACUCGAAACCCGGUGAUCUAGCCAUGGGCAGGUUGAAGGUUGGGUAACACUAACUGGAGGACCGAACCGACUAAUGUUGAAAAAUUAGCGGAUGACUUGUGGCUGGGGGUGAAAGGCCAAUCAAACCGGGAGAUAGCUGGUUCUCCCCGAAAGCUAUUUAGGUAGCGCCUCGUGAAUUCAUCUCCGGGGGUAGAGCACUGUUUCGGCAAGGGGGUCAUCCCGACUUACCAACCCGAUGCAAACUGCGAAUACCGGAGAAUGUUAUCACGGGAGACACACGGCGGGUGCUAACGUCCGUCGUGAAGAGGGAAACAACCCAGACCGCCAGCUAAGGUCCCAAAGUCAUGGUUAAGUGGGAAACGAUGUGGGAAGGCCCAGACAGCCAGGAUGUUGGCUUAGAAGCAGCCAUCAUUUAAAGAAAGCGUAAUAGCUCACUGGUCGAGUCGGCCUGCGCGGAAGAUGUAACGGGGCUAAACCAUGCACCGAAGCUGCGGCAGCGACACUGUGUGUUGUUGGGUAGGGGAGCGUUCUGUAAGCCUGUGAAGGUGUGCUGUGAGGCAUGCUGGAGGUAUCAGAAGUGCGAAUGCUGACAUAAGUAACGAUAAAGCGGGUGAAAAGCCCGCUCGCCGGAAGACCAAGGGUUCCUGUCCAACGUUAAUCGGGGCAGGGUGAGUCGACCCCUAAGGCGAGGCCGAAAGGCGUAGUCGAUGGGAAACAGGUUAAUAUUCCUGUACUUGGUGUUACUGCGAAGGGGGGACGGAGAAGGCUAUGUUGGCCGGGCGACGGUUGUCCCGGUUUAAGCGUGUAGGCUGGUUUUCCAGGCAAAUCCGGAAAAUCAAGGCUGAGGCGUGAUGACGAGGCACUACGGUGCUGAAGCAACAAAUGCCCUGCUUCCAGGAAAAGCCUCUAAGCAUCAGGUAACAUCAAAUCGUACCCCAAACCGACACAGGUGGUCAGGUAGAGAAUACCAAGGCGCUUGAGAGAACUCGGGUGAAGGAACUAGGCAAAAUGGUGCCGUAACUUCGGGAGAAGGCACGCUGAUAUGUAGGUGAAGUCCCUCGCGGAUGGAGCUGAAAUCAGUCGAAGAUACCAGCUGGCUGCAACUGUUUAUUAAAAACACAGCACUGUGCAAACACGAAAGUGGACGUAUACGGUGUGACGCCUGCCCGGUGCCGGAAGGUUAAUUGAUGGGGUCAGCGCAAGCGAAGCUCUUGAUCGAAGCCCCGGUAAACGGCGGCCGUAACUAUAACGGUCCUAAGGUAGCGAAAUUCCUUGUCGGGUAAGUUCCGACCUGCACGAAUGGCGUAAUGAUGGCCAGGCUGUCUCCACCCGAGACUCAGUGAAAUUGAACUCGCUGUGAAGAUGCAGUGUACCCGCGGCAAGACGGAAAGACCCCGUGAACCUUUACUAUAGCUUGACACUGAACAUUGAGCCUUGAUGUGUAGGAUAGGUGGGAGGCUUUGAAGUGUGGACGCCAGUCUGCAUGGAGCCGACCUUGAAAUACCACCCUUUAAUGUUUGAUGUUCUAACGUGGACCCGUGAUCCGGGUUGCGGACAGUGUCUGGUGGGUAGUUUGACUGGGGCGGUCUCCUCCUAAAGAGUAACGGAGGAGCACGAAGGUUGGCUAAUCCUGGUCGGACAUCAGGAGGUUAGUGCAAUGGCAUAAGCCAGCUUGACUGCGAGCGUGACGGCGCGAGCAGGUGCGAAAGCAGGUCAUAGUGAUCCGGUGGUUCUGAAUGGAAGGGCCAUCGCUCAACGGAUAAAAGGUACUCCGGGGAUAACAGGCUGAUACCGCCCAAGAGUUCAUAUCGACGGCGGUGUUUGGCACCUCGAUGUCGGCUCAUCACAUCCUGGGGCUGAAGUAGGUCCCAAGGGUAUGGCUGUUCGCCAUUUAAAGUGGUACGCGAGCUGGGUUUAGAACGUCGUGAGACAGUUCGGUCCCUAUCUGCCGUGGGCGCUGGAGAACUGAGGGGGGCUGCUCCUAGUACGAGAGGACCGGAGUGGACGCAUCACUGGUGUUCGGGUUGUCAUGCCAAUGGCACUGCCCGGUAGCUAAAUGCGGAAGAGAUAAGUGCUGAAAGCAUCUAAGCACGAAACUUGCCCCGAGAUGAGUUCUCCCUGACCCUUUAAGGGUCCUGAAGGAACGUUGAAGACGACGACGUUGAUAGGCCGGGUGUGUAAGCGCAGCGAUGCGUUGAGCUAACCGGUACUAAUGAACCGUGAGGCUUAACCUUACAACGCCGAAGGUGUUU